UCUACAAUGUGCAUUUUGUCCACUAUUAAUUCUCGCAAGAAACACAAUGAAAUGAUAAUCCUAGGUGACUUCAACAUUAAUUGGCUUGACCGUUCCUCUUCCAAUCAUCGAAACUUAUUUAGCAGUAUAAAUCUAACUCAGUUAAUUAACGAACCAACCAGAGUUGAUAUUCGUUCUUCCUCUCUGUUAGACUGGAUACUUGUUACAAAUCUGGAAAGAAUAAUCAAAUCUGGUGUUAUGGCUGACUGUUUAAAUGACCAUUCUAUUAUAUUUUGUGUUUGGAAAAUUAAAAUCCCUAGCUCUCCACCUAAAUACAUUAGAUUUAGACAAUGCAAGAAUAUUAAUGUUGACAAUUUUAUCCAAGAUAUCAUAUCUGUUUGUUAUAAAAUCAUGGAUUGAUGAUUGAUGUAUGUAUGUAUGUAUGUAUGUAUGUAUGUAUGCAUCCAUGCAUACAUACAUACAUCAAUACAUACAUCAAUAUAUACAUACAUCAGUACAUCAAUGCAUACAUACAUACAUCAAUCAGAAAUAUUCGGGAUGCCAUAAACAAACACUGAAGUUUACAAAUUAGGACUGCAGUCUGGAAACAUGGACGCGUAUAAAGCGGCAGCUUAAAAUGCAAGAAGAGCAGUAACAGAGGCAAACAGGGACUACAGGAAGCAAGUGGAACAACAAUUCAAGGAGGGUACACACACAACUGACAGAUUCAGAUUCAGACAACUUUAUUUAUCCCACCAGGGGCAAUUUGUUUGAACAGCUUGCCUUGCACUCAGACUAAAACAUACAGUUACAUGUAGGCACAUAAAUAAAAAUCAAAGAUAAAAAAAAUAUGCUAAGGAGUUCAGUGGAAUAAAAGAAUCUAUAAACAACAGCAACAAUAAUAAUUGUUAUUUAUUAUUAUUAUUAUUAUUAUUAUUAUAAGUUAAUAGACUGAUUAUCAAUAAAAUUAAAAAGCAAUAAAAAUAUUUACAGAGAUUUUAAAAGACUAAUAGAGGGAAUAAAAGAUUUUGAAUAAUGACGUCCUGACGGCAACAGAGGAUUCUUCUCCAUCAGAAGCUUAAAUACUUGUGGCUUUCUGGAGGAUUUAUUUGCAAAAACCAGUCAAGUCCCGUUGUGUCACUUCUGUGAUCUUAGAGCAGAUUUUAACAAUGCUAUUGAGACUGCUUCUGUCUUUCUAUGUGAGGCUGAGAAACCAGCAGAUAAAUGAAAACCACAGGAGGCUCUCACUAAAAGACUGAUAGAAACGGCAGAGGAUGAUGGGACUGACAGAAGAGGAAUUUAGUUUACAGAGAAGGUGAAUUCUGUUGUCCUUGCUUCACAAUAUCUGCAGUAUUUACAUCAAAUGUAGCCACUUCUGACUCCAUCACCGUCAUUUAGUUUGCUGUCCACACAGCUGUGGUGAGAUUGAUCACAGAAAACAAUAAAAACACCUACCUGAAGACCUGACCAGCUGGUGUUAGGAUAACAACCUACUCUGAAUGUCAGCACAGCACAACAACAGCAAAAGGACUACGCUCCCCUUAGUAUCAACAGGUCCACGGUGGAGAGGAUGGAUAACUUUAAAUACCUUGGUGUCAACAUCAGCGAGAGCCUGACCUGGGUGUUGCAUAAUGACUCAGUGGUGAGAAAAGCAAGGCAGUGAUUGUUUCACCGGAGAUGCCAGAGGAAAUUCCGGGUAUCCCCUCAAAUACGGAGGAAUUUUUACUCCACUACCAUCAAGGGCAUGCUGACGAGGAACAUCACUGCCUGGUACGGGAACAGCACCAAACAGGACCACAAGGCCCUGCAAAGAGUGGUUAAUUCAGCUGAAUGCACUAUAGGUGCUCAUCUACCCUGCAUAAAGCAUGUUUAUACCAGAUGCUGCCCGGAUAACUGCCUAUUCACCCUACUGAGGUUAGGAAGAAGGUACCAGAUACACCAGGCAGCACUGAGAGGUUUAGGAGGACUACAUAAAAUGACAGAAACAGUUUUUGGGAAAAAUUUAUUUGAUGUGUACUUUGAGUUUUUAUUUUGGCCCACGUCCCAUCUGCUCACCUGGGGCGGGGUUUAUGACCUACGCUGCAGCUGGACACCAAGGGGUGAUUAAAAUGUAUUUUGCUUCACUUUUGGGGAGCUGUCAAGUUAUCUAUUCUCAUUAUUAAAACUAUGGUGCAUUCAAAUCGAUGUGGCUUAGAGGUAGAGCAGGUCUUCCACCAAUCAGAAGAUCGGCGGUUCGGUCCCCAGCUCCUCCAGUGUGCAUGUCUGCAUACUGAUUGCUCCUGAGAUGGCUGUUCCAUCGGUGUGUGAGUGUGUUAAUAAACUGAGCUUGGUAGCCUCGGCCACCAGUGUAUGAAUGUGUGUGUGUGAAUGUGUCUAGUAGUGUAAAGUGGUCGGAAGCCUAAAAAGGCGCUAUACAAGUGCAGGUCCAUUUACGAUUCAUACACAUGGAUAGAUGGAUGCAGGUUGUCUAUCCCCAAACAUUGUAGAGUUUAAUGCAUGUUUUUAUGUUCCUCUGCAGGAUCAACUGUUAUGAUGUGUUUGGGGCUCAGGCUCCGUUUGGAGGUUACAAGGCUUCUGGUAAUGGCAGAGAGCUUGGAGAGUAUGGCCUGGACAACUACACGGAAGUCAAGACGGUGACCAUGAAGGUGCCACAGAAGAACUCUUAGACAUGUGCAGUGAGCCCAGUGAGCAGCUAAUUCAUGUCUCCUCCUAGCUGCUCUCUGGUUGACAGCAGACUGACACACUGCUCCUGUGCACCGCUACAAAAGUAAUUCUACUGCUGUCUGUCAAUCAUGCACAGAACAAACCCAUUGUAGGAAGAAAUCCCAUUCAUAUGAGCUCUUUCUGCUGUAAAAAUCAACCCACUGUCCACCAAUAAUGACACUCUUUUCCACCUGAUUCAAUGUAAUCAUAAACAUAUCCAAACAUUAUCCGUGUUUGUAACCUGUGGGCUUUGACAUUUAUAGAUUUUAAUAAUAAAUGCAUUUGAGGGA